CUUGAUCUGGCGGUGAACAACUAAAGUAGCUAGGGUUGGAAAUUGGCAACACAAUAUAAAGGGAUGGAAGGCCAGGAUAAGUGUUCAUAGCUGCUUCGGUAGCCGCUUGUAAGUUAACACAUAUGGGAGGAAAUGGAGAGGGAGUAGGAUUUUCGGAAGGUUAUCGGGUGGGUGAGCGGGGAAGAUAACUUUGGUUUUUGAGAUAUUACUUGUUAUUUUCCCUACUCCACCCAUCCCAUAGGUUUCCGAUCAUUCCUCCCUCUCCUCAUCACUCUGCUUCUCAUGGCCUGGUUAUCUGGAUUCUGGAUGUAGUCUAUCUCAUCUGCUAGUGAAUAGUCCUACCUUUUCUUGAAGCCCUCAUCUACUAUCUGAACGUUGAGCAGACCCCGGGCAUAGAAGGUCUUCACUGACAAGCUGUGACUCGAAUAUAAGCAUAUUCGUUGACUGACACAGCACCCUGAACGCCGUCCUUUAUUACAGCAUCAAAAUUAAGGCAGCCAUGGUUUUAAAUUUUCUAAUUAAAUCAGAACAUCCCAGCCAAGGGAAAGCAAAGCAAAUAAGUAUGUGCAGGGGGGAUGAUUUCAACUACUCGGAUGAUGUUAUAAGAGAGGCCUCCAAAGAGAGGUUUGCUUGACAUGUUUUAACUCGGAUUAAACUUCUCCAUGUGAAGAGAAGUGUUGAGCAGCUGUAUUAUUGGAACACAAACCAUUGCACAGUAACUUGUCAUGAAUCUCUGGAGCAAACUUCAUAACUGUGUGGCCAUCUCCACAAGUUCAGAUUCUUCUUUAUACGAAUUGGUGCCCCAGCAGGAGGUGUGCUAGAAGCUAAAAUGCAAGGGCGAGUUUCUCAGUGAUCCCACAUGCUCUGCUCCUAGUUUCAGCUACACAACAGUUUUUCUUCGCCAAGUCCUCCAACUUUCUCAGCGUAUCAUCAAUCUCAUCUGCCCUUAAACAUGUUUGUUUUAUUUCACUAAUUUUUUUUAUUGUUCUCCAGAUAAUGUUGACAUCUUCUUAUUAACAUUUGUUCAAAAAACUCAAAAAACAAUAGCUCGAUUUGAAUUUUUUUUUCCCAACUAAAACCCAUUUAAGGAAAAUUGAACAUAUCAGGAAACGGAAGAGUCGUAGGGCAGCACAGAGCACAUGCCGAAAAUGCUGCCUGCUUUGAUAAAAGAAAUGAGCCCGCAGAGCUGUUGCUGCAGUGUCGGUGGGUGCUGGUGCUGGGAAAAUGCUCGACGAGGUCGUUUGGAUGUGAAAAUCUUAUCGGUAAUAUCGCAGAGCACAUCCUUAUGGAUCUUUAUGUUCAUUCAAGUCUGACUUUAAUUAUCUGCUUAAAACAUGGACCCUCAAAAAUGGUUUACCCAUUGUUGUGGGCAGGAGGGGGUGUUAGACCACGACAUCUGUAAUAUUUGAAUUAUUUAAUCCAUCUUAGCCGGUUAAAAUUAGAUCUUAUUUAAUCCAUCUUAGCCAGUAAAAAAAAAUAAUAUAUAAAUAUUAUAGGUUAGGGAAGCCAUUAUAAAUAACUCCAGUCUUUAGGAUAAAUAAUAUAUUUUACACUUAAAGUUGUUUCUUAUUCUCUUAAAUCAUUUUCUUUUUUUUAUUCUUUAUUUUUACAGAAAUUAUAGUUAUUCAUUUUAAAGUUUGAUUUGGUGAAGUAACAAUGCAUUUUUCAAUUUCAAUGUUUUCUAGUCGACAACCAGGAUAUCAAGAGAAAACAAAUGGAAAUUUUAAGAAUUUAGAUUAAACUUUUUUUUUUAAUCAAAUCACAAAACUAAAACCACUUAAUAGAUAUUUUUUUCCUAAUUCAUCGUUGUAUGAUAUUACAUCCUAACUGUUUGAUAAAGUAUUUGAUCUUUUAUAUAUAUAUAUAUAUAUGAAAAUAAUGAUAGUUUUUAUAUUGUCUCUUAUAUAUAUAUUUUAAGUGUAUUAUCUAAUUCCAAUAGUUGGAUUGGAUUGCUCGUGUUUCUACAUGACAAAUUCUAUUUCUUUUAGCUUUGGCAUAUAAGAAUUUGUAACCAAAUAAGUCCUUGUUUUAGCCACUGUGUGAAUCGCAUAUAUAAUAACCAAAUAUACUAUUUUCCAUGAUUCUUUCUAAUUGAAUUUUAAGCAGAGUUGUUCGCUUUCAAAAAUAACAAAUUAUAUGAUAUUAUAUCUUAAUAUAAGUAGUACAGUUAACGCAAAACAGCAAGAUCACUAUAAAUAAAUAAAUAAAACAAUAAAAGGAAAAAGAAGUGGAUUUAAUCGGGAUUGUUGAAAUGAAAUAAAAACAGUUAAAUUGAUUUUUUUCAUGAAUCAUUUAAUCCUGAUGUUAAUGAUUUGUUUUUUAUCAAGUAAAAAAUUAAUCUAAUUUGAACAUGUAAAAAAAAAAAAACUAGUAGAGAAUAUUAUCAGCCAUGAAAAAUAAAAAUAAGAAAAACAUGUCUGAGAAGGACGGUCGCUUCGCAUCGAUGAUGACAAUAUUUAUAUCGAUGCCCGUGGCCAUGCACCUUUUCAGCCUACGUUGCCGCCGUUGUUCCUCCUCUCCGCGGCAACCUAGCAACCCUCUGAUAUUAUUUCAUUAUUAGCUGUCAAUAAGAUGGUGAGGGUGGAGGAAAUCAUCACCAAAAGUCAAUGGUUUUCAAUGGCCUGUGUCUUGUCAAAACAGGCUUCGUUUCAAUCCAACUCUUCUUCUUCUUCUUCUUCUAUCAAGUAAUUGAUUUGAUCAUUUUAUUGAUAAAUUAAAAUCAAAUUAAAACUAAGGUUUCCUUGCUCGAUUAUCUUGAAAACAUGUCUAUUACGCAAAGAUUGCUAGCUAUUGAUGGUACUAUAAUUAGUUUUAACAUUUUUCACUUUGAACUAUUUGUACCAUUCAUUGUAUCGGUGCAAUUUUGAUUUUUCCUCUCCGCUUGAAAGAUUAAUACAAAUUUUUAAUGGUAUUAAAGUUUUUUUACAUAGCUCAUUAAUUCUUAUUAAAUUAAUUAAAAAUAAAUAAUUUUUUUCUUGUUUCGUACAUUAAAAUAACUAAAAUAAAAUAUUUAAAAUUCAUUUUGUAUUUUACAUAGAAUGAGAAGAGAGGAGAAGUUUAAAGAGAAAAAGUAAACAAAAUAAUUCUUCUAUUUAAUGGCUUUAAAAAUAAAUAUUAAGGAAGGACUUUUCAUGUAAAGAAAUUUGAACAUCUCGAGUCAAUAUCUUUUUUAGAAUAUUAUAAAUUAUAUUCUAGGAUCUUAUAUAAACAUGUUCACGAGUUCGAAUCUCAUAAUUUUUAUUUAUUUAAUAAAAAUUAAAUAUAAGAUAACUUGAACAUAUACAAGUUUCAAGUUCAAAUGACUUUCACUUAGGCAUAUUAAAAAAUAAUAUAAAUUAUAUCUUGUAACUUUACUUAAAAACUUAAAUUAUUAGAUUGAAAUGAUUAUUUACAUCAUCUCUUUUAAAACUUAAAAUCAACUAAUAAAAAAUAUUUUCGAUAUAUAUAUACACUCCAUAUAGUUAUUCCAUUGAAGAAGCUUCUAAUAUCGACGCAGGGAUACUCUUUAUUCUUUACCAAGAAAAAAACAAAACAAAAAAAAACUACCGACAUGCAGUGGAGGAGUUGAGUGCUAGUGGCCCGAUCCAGCCAGCCAGCUGGUGGCAGAAGAAGGCAAAAAUAGCAUGGCAAAGCAACAUGGAUGUGCCACGUUAGAGUAUCGUGAGACAAGCUAUCUAGCUGUCCAUAAAUAUCAAAUAUGAAUAUGAUUCUUGCAACGCAAAACCGUCGCAUCUACCCCUUCCUUUCCUUUUUGUCGUUUAAUAAAGUGGUGUAGGGUGUUUUAAUUAUUAUUUUUUAAAAAUUAUUUUUAAUUAACAUAUUAAAAUUAUUUAAAAAUAAAAAAAUAUAAAUUUAAAAUAAAAAAAUUAAUUUUAAAAAAAAAUACUUUAAAAAUACAAAAAUUCUCAUACAAAAACACAUUAGUAUUGAUUUAUCAACUUUCAUAACGUGUUGACAAUAAUACUCUUAAAAUUAGUAACAAAAUUUUUAAGAUAAAAUAUAUUAUUGGUAAAUUAGUUGGAAAAUGAUGAUGUGUAAUUAUAUAAAUGAUGUAAUAUAUAUUUUAAUUAUUUUAUUGUAAUAAUAUUUCAUCAAUAAUUCUAAUAAGAUAUUUUCUAUUAGUACAUAAUUAUGUUGAAACUAAACGAUAAAAAUAUAUUAUCACUGUUAUAAUCAGGCAUUAAUGGUGAAAUAAGUUAUUCCGUGGAUAAUUCUAUUGUUAUUUUAUAAAUUUUUGUGACGUUUUACCAUUUAAAUAGUGAUUUAGUGGUAAAAACUUAGGACCAAAAAAUUUGCUUUUUCUAUGGUUUCAGGUUCGAGCCCAUAUAGUUGCUUAUAUGAUAGUCACUGAGGCUUACAUGGUUGUUAAUUUCAAGGCCUGUAAAAUUAGUCGAGGUGUGCACAAACUUCCCCGAGCAUCUAUAUUAAAAAAAAAAAAAAGUGCACCGAUCUUUAUUUUUAUAUUAAGUGACCAAUAUUUAGCGUAGCUUCUCAGCCUAAUAGUUUUGGGAUAAAAAAACAAGUCGAAAGCCAAGACAAACCGAACCUAGAACAUACGUGUGGGACACGUGUACACGUUGGUGGCGCCAGGCAGUGGGGUGGCUCUGGGGCUAUAUAUAACUAACCAGCCUCAAUCUUCGACUUAAUUCAUCUCACAGAGAAGAAAAGCAAUACAUUAUUUUUCAGGAGACUACUUUAGUAGAGAAUUAAUAAGAAGAUCAUGGCAGGGGCAGUUAAAUGCAUAGACAUCUUGAUAGCCAUCAUCUUGCCUCCUCUUGGUGUCUUCCUCAGGUUUGGCUGCGGGGUGGAGUUUUGGAUCUGUUUGCUCCUCACCAUCUUAGGCUACAUCCCUGGAAUUAUUUAUGCUGUCUACGCCAUCACCAAGUGAAGAUCCUUAAUCUCACCAUCUAAAUAUCCCUGCUGCGAGCACCUGCACCUGCACCGCAGCCCCAAAAGCUGUUUCUUUCUCCUUGUUCCUGUAAAGGGUUGUAAAGUAUUUGCGAAAAUAAAGGAUAUAUAUUAUAUAUUAUGACGGUUAAUUUUUUUAAAAUAAAUUUAAUUUGUUGAAAAAAAUGACGUGUUGAGAAAGAUAUCUAGGUGUUGAUAAUUGGAGCACACUACAAGAUAUGAUCUAUUCAUGUGAUAGCUACAUGUGCAUGAUGUAUAUACAUGGAAGCAUGCAUCAGAAAUUGUGGUAGCUAGCCACCGUUCUUAUCAUCUUAGGCUACAUCCCUGGAAUUAUUUAUGCUGUCUACGCCAUCACCAAGUGAAGAUCCUUAAUCUCACCAUCUAAAUAUCCCUGCUGCGAGCACCUGCACCUGCACCGCAGCCCCAAAAGCUGUUUCUUUCUCCUUGUUCCUGUAAAGGGUUGUAAAGUAUUUGCGAAAAUAAAGGAUAUAUAUUAUAUAUUA